rnacentral:tRNA from 1 species
GGAGGCUUCGCCUAGUCUGGUCUAUGGCGCCGCACUGCUAAUGCGGUUUGGGGUAACACCCCAUCCCGGGUUCAAAUCCCGGAGCCUCCG